rnacentral:rRNA from 1 species
GACGAACGCUGGCGGCGUGCUUAACACAUGCAAGUCGAGCGGAAAGGCCCUUUCGGGGGUACUCGAGCGGCGAACGGGUGAGUAACACGUGAGUAAUCUGCCCCUGGCUUUGGGAUAGCCACCGGAAACGGUGAUUAAUACCGGAUACGACCACUUCUCGCAUGGGAUGGUGGUGGAAAGUUUUUCGGCCAGGGAUGUGCUCGCGGCCUAUCAGCUUGAUGGUGAGGUAAUGGCUCACCAUGGCCUCGACGGGUAGCCGGCCUGAGAGGGUGACCGGUCACACUGGGACUGGGACGCGGCCCAGACUCCUACGGGAGGCAGCAGUGGGGAAUAUUGGAAAAUGGGCGGAAGCCUGAUCCAGCAACGCCGCGUGAGGGAGGACGGCCUUCGGGUUGUAAACCUCUUUCAGCAGGGACGAAGCGCAAGUGACGGUACCUGCAGAAGAAGCACCGGCCAACUACGUGCCAGCAGCCGCCGUAA